rnacentral:rRNA from 1 species
UAAUACGUAGGGUGCAAGCGUUAAUCGGAAUGACUGGGCGUAAAGGGUGUGUAGGCGGUCUGCAAAGUCUGAUGUGAAAUCCCCGGGCUCAACCUGGGAACUGCGUUGGAUACUGGUAGACUAGAGUACGUAAGAGGGGGGUGGAAUUCCACGUGUAGCAGUGAAAUGCGUAGAGAUGUGGAGGAACACCGAUGGCGAAGGCAACCCCCUGGGACGAUACUGACGCUGAGGCACGAAAGCGUGGGGAGCAAACAGGAUUAGAUACCCUGGUAGUCCACGCCCUAAACGAUGUCGACUAGUUGUUGGGGUUAUUAUGACCGCAGUAACGAAGCUAACGCAUGAAGUCGACCGCCUGGGGAGUACGGCCGCAAGGUUA